GAUCUGCCCUGCACUCUGGGAUAAGCUUGGGAAACUGGGUCUAAUACCGGAUAUGACCACAGCAUGCAUGUGUUGUGGUGGAAAGAUUUAUCGGUGCAGGAUGGGCCCGCGGCCUAUCAGCUUGUUGGUGGGGUAAUGGCCUACCAAGGCGACGACGGGUAGCCGACCUGAGAGGGUGACCGGCCACACUGGGACUGAGACACGGCCCAGACUCCUACGGGAGGCAGCAGUGGGGAAUAUUGCACAAUGGGCGGAAGCCUGAUGCAGCGACGCCGCGUGAGGGAUGAAGGCCUUCGGGUUGUAAACCUCUUUCAGCAGGGACGAAGCGUGAGUGACGGUACCUGCAGAAGAAGCACCGGCUAACUACGUGCCAGCAGCCGCGGUAAUACGUAGGGUGCGAGCGUUGUCCGGAAUUACUGGGCGUAAAGAGUUCGUAGGCGGUUUGUCGCGUCGUUUGUGAAAACCCGGGGCUCAACUUCGGGCUUGCAGGCGAUACGGGCAGACUUGAGUGUUUCAGGGGAGACUGGAAUUCCUGGUGUAGCGGUGAAAUGCGCAGAUAUCAGGAGGAACACCGGUGGCGAAGGCGGGUCUCUGGGAAACAACUGACGCUGAGGAACGAAAGCGUGGGUAGCAAACAGGAUUAGAUACCCUGGUAGUCCACGCCGUAAACGGUGGGCGCUAGGUGUGGGUU
rnacentral:rRNA from 1 species